CUCACCUGGUUUCAAAAGCUCCUUCAAGGCUUAUUUCUGCCAUGGGACUGGCCACACAAGUUCCUACCAUGCCACACCUUCCCAUGAAAAGCUUACCGUAAUUCAGUAACCGGGUACAUCAAGCUAAACUCGGCUCACCGGCAUUAACAAUGUGAUAAUUGCCAACCAAAUCUUCUUCAUCCCAUUUUGGGGGAAAUCAAAUGGAAGACGCGGUCCCUUCUUUUCUGAAAUAUGGAAUGAUCAUGGGGCUGACUCCAGUGAAUGGAAAUGACAUGGAAGUCAUAGUUUCCUCCCAAACUGGAAACAAGUCAAAUGUCCAUCGGCAGGGGAAUGGUUCCAAUAAGGCAAGGAUGCUUUCAUCCAUCCUGUGUGCCCCUCAACUACCCUGGCGCGUCAGCAGCUGUUAGGGAUCCUCCGGCAGACUCCAACUUCUUCAUCUCCAACUCUCAACUUUUCUUCAAGACACUUGAAGUUUGGCUUCAGAUGCAGGCACAUACUUGGGUGUCAGCACGAUGGAUGGGCCCUGAACAUUGUCCUCGACGCACACGCACCUGGACCUUCAGAAGACCCCACCAUUUUUAACACUUUCAAGCCACAUGCCAUCUUUCUUCAGGAUUGAAAGGUAUACUUGGGGAGCACCUGGGGGGGGGGGGCGGUGCUCAGUUGCUUAAGCUUCCACCUUCAGCUCGGGUCACAAUCUCACAGUCGGAGAGUUCGAGCCCCGCGUCGGGCUCGCUGCUGUCAGCCCAGAGCCCACUUCCAAUCCUCUGUCCCCCACUUUCUCUGCUCCUCUUCCCCUCUUUCAAAAAUGAAUAAACAUUUUUUAAAGUAUACGUUCA
rnacentral:lncRNA from 1 species